UACAGAGGGGGCAAGCGUUAUUCGGAAUUAUUGGGCGUAAAGGGCGCGUAGGCGGCUUUGCAAGUGACGGGUGAAAGCCCUCGGCUUAACCGAGGAACUGCCUGUCAGACUGUGAGGCUUGAGACCAGGAGAGGUGAGUGGAAUUCCCAGUGUAGCGGUGAAAUGCGUAGAUAUUGGGAGGAACACCAGUGGCGAAGGCGGCUCACUGGACCGGUACUGACGCUGAUGCGCGAAAGCGUGGGGAGCAAACGGG
rnacentral:rRNA from 1 species